GGGCAACACACAUCCUCAAAAGAGCAAAAGAAAAAAGCAUAAUUUUUUCAGGUUGGAAUACCAGUUGUCCAAAAGCAAAGGAAGAUGAGACCAAAACUUCUGAUUCUUACUCACUCAGGAGUGAUGCUGAACUCAUGGGUAGACCUAUGAAUCCUGACUACUCAUGAUUGAGAGCUGAAUGACUGGACAGACUGUAUUAAGUAUUGUAUAUAGCACUUACCCUCUAAAAUUCAGUUAUCCACUGGCAGCUGUUGAACAGCACAAAAAUGUUGUAAUAUACAGUAUAAAUGAAGAACACAACACCAUAUAAAGGCAGCUUUUACUAUUUAAGGAAACACAAAGGAUGAAGGCUUUCUCAAUGCAAAAGACUCAUUGUUCUGAGCAAAAAUCAGAACUUCAGAGUAAUGCAGACCUAGUUUGAGGUCGCAGUCUUUUUGGCUUUGAGUUUCUUAUUUUAUUUUUUUCCCUCCACUGUGUAAUUUUCUGAAUUAACCACAGUCCCUGACUCCAUGGUGGAAAGACAUUCUUCUGAUCCCUCUGCCUGGCAAAGUAUUUGCUCUUUCUUCCAUAUCUUAACAUGUUUUUUCUGCUGUUCACACCUCACCUUCUAUUGGGAAGAUGGGCAAUGACCUGAAAAGUGUGCUGAAAGAGAGUCAGUGAUCCAUUUAGCUCAGAAGCAGAUCACAACAACAACUGUAAAAAGCAAGCAGCCGCAGCAGCAGCAGCACAGAGCUCCUAGUCCUGUCUCUUCACACAGAUCCCGAAAGUCAAGCAAAAGCUGCAUUAGAGUUUCUUCCUCUCCUUAAACCCCUGAACUGUGGGUACUUUUUACCCCCAAAGUAAAUGCAUAACUAUUUCACUAAUCAAAAAUAUUUUGAAUGUUAUUGUCUCCAGUUUCUCACCUUGGGGUCUCCACAUGAGCCAUGGUUUUAUGAGUCCUUUGGAGAAUAUCAGGCUGAAAAGGACUGAGAUAAGGCAGAUCAAUGCUUAUGGCAUUAUAAGAGAGAAGACAAAGAUGGAAUUGGACCAGCCAGUAGGCAGUGAGGUCAAGGGCUAACGUUCCAGGAUAGUUUAAAAAAAAAAAAACAAAAAAGUUCAAUGAAGUAUGAAAUCAUCUGGGAAAAUAAGCAAAAACAAUAAGAAAGGGUGGCAGAAAACAAGCUAAGGAGUGAGGCCAAGAAGAUGAAUUAUAUGUAAGUCUUGGAAAGAAAGUUACAUUUUAUAUUUUUUUGCUGAACAAAUGUCAGAAAGAGGAAGCGUAGCGACAAGUGCAAGUGAGGUGGAGAUACCAAAGAUCGCUUGAAGCAACAUCAAGACGGGCAUGGACUAAGAUAGCAGCACGCUAGGGGAGCACCGAGUACUCUUUACACACCGCCUCAGUGCUGCAGAUGGCCAAGCUGUACCAGGGACCUGCCAACAAAAUCACUGUGAAGAGCUGCAAGGGCAAAGUCAGCCCCACAGCUGAAAGGGGUUGGGCAGAUCCUGGAGGUGAAGGAAGGACCAUCAUCUCCUUUCCUCCUCCCUGGCGCCUCCAGCACUAUUUCUCUCUCUCUGCAUUCACACUUUCCAUUGAGCAGGGGUGGGGGGCAAUGAGAAGGAGAAGAGGAGGCGGCGGGUGUUCGUGCUGCUUCCCCAGCACAGCGGCUGGGCUGGCGGCAGGGUCUCCAGCAGCAGCAGGGAGCCAUGAGGAGCCAGGCUGCUUGCACGUCCAUCAGUGCGGCGCUGUGCUCGUGGUGCAGGGAGGGGAAUAUUGGAUAUCGUUUUGGUCGGGGCUGAAUCUAUAAUUGAGAAGAUGAGAGUUCAUUACAGAUUUUGGCCUUGGAGUGCUUGUCUUGGCAGGAGGCUUGGUGGAGUGUUAAAAUCAUUACUGAGUGGCCUAAAUCUAAACAAACACCCACCUUUUCCAUUUAUUACCAGGAUGAAAUGACUUGCCUUGUAGAACUGAAAUACCUAUAGUUGUCAGCUUCUCAUUUCCCAGUGGUGCAUAAAAUUCCCUCUCUUAUGCCUGGCUUUCCCUCUGCUCUAGCUUUCCCUUAUGUUAUUUUACUGACAAGAAUUAUGUAUUAAAUUACAAGUUAUCUGUCGUAGAAUGAGAAUUUCACUUCACACCAGACAGAGGUCUGUUGUACAGUGCUAAGAGUUCCUGUUUCUCUAGUACAGUGUUGUAGAACAAGAAAAAGGAUUUUAAAAAAAAAAAAAAAGUAGGAUGAUUCUGACGUUAUGGUAGAUGAAAAUUUAGA